rnacentral:misc_RNA from 1 species
AACCAUUCUCACCUGCGGCUAGACCUGCGGAAGGAUCAUUACAGAGUUAUCCAACUCCCAAACCCAUGUGAACUUAUCUCUUUGUUGCCUCGGCGCAAGCUACCCGGGACCCCGCGCCCCGGGCGGCCCGCCGGCGGACAAACCAAAACUCUUGUUAUCUUAGUUGAUUCUCUGAGCGUCUUAUUUAAUAAGUCAAAACUUUUAGCAACGGAUCU